rnacentral:rRNA from 1 species
UUCCAGACUCCUACGGGAGGCAGCAGUGGGGAAUAUUGCACAAUGGGGGAAACCCUGAUGCAGCGACGCCGCGUGAGCGAUGAAGUAUUUCGGUAUGUAAAGCUCUAUCAGCAGGGAAGAAAAUGACGGUACCUGACUAAGAAGCCCCGGCUAACUACGUGCCAGCAGCCGCGGUAAUACGUAGGGGGCAAGCGUUAUCCGGAUUUACUGGGUGUAAAGGGGGCGCAGACGGCAGCGCAAGCCAGGAGUGAAAGCCCGGGGCCCAACCCCGGGACUGCUCUUGGAACUGCGCGGCUGGAGUGCAGGAGGGGCAGGCGGAAUUCCUGGUGUAGCGGUGAAAUGCGUAGAUAUCAGGAGGAACACCGGUGGCGAAGGCGGCCUGCUGGACUUUAACUGACGCUGAGGCUCGAAAGCGUGGGGAGCAAACAGGAUUAGAUACCCGGGUAC